AUAUAUGAGUGUAUGCUGACUCUGAACUAAUUUUUGCAGGUUUAUCACAAACAACUGAGCCCCACCCCAAACGCCGGCAGUUCAUUGAUGAACAAUCCCAAACCUAAUAUAAAGCAAAGAUGUUUCCAAAGUUGACUUCCCCACUCAAUCCCUCCCCCGAACCUGAGAACUCAAUAGCGGUAUUACGCCGCCACGGCUUCAGGAAUUAGCGCGUACUCCUUUUCUCCGUUCUUCUCGAAUUCUGCCAUAUCAAGCGCAACGAUAACACUAUCCCUCACCACUUGUUCGGGGUCGUCUAAAAACUUCUUUAGUGUCUCCUCCACUCCUUCCUCAUCUCCAAGACUCCCAAGAGCUUCAGCAGCCUCAUGACGCACCAUACUGGCUUCCUCCAUAUUGUGGAGUGUGGCGGUGAGGCUGGGAAUACUAGCAGGAUGAGACAAUUGGCCAAAAACGAAUGCUAUCUCAUGUCGAAAGAGUGCCGAAGUGUCUUUGAACCCUUCUGCUAGAGCACAUACAGCGGGAACAGCGGUCGGAAGGUCGGGAGGUGAAGCAAGAUCUCGAAGAGCGAACAUCGCACGGUAUCUUUGGAAAAGCGGAAGGUUUGGAUCGAGGAGGGUACGUUCUAAAUCGGGGAUGGAUGGCUCAUCGGUGGCCAUUGGUAGUGGAGGGGCAGGGUCAAUUGAUGUAAAAUCACUUUAUAUGACAGCAUCAAAUCCGUUAGCCAUGGGGAUAUAUUGUUAGUUAGGGAUGCGAUAUCUGUCUGCAGUUUUACCUUUGUUUUAGGUUCUCGGCUUUGCGUCGACCAGACAUUUCCCAUUCAAUCCUCUCCACAGCAAUGUCGCAAGUUUCCCUUACAACAUCAGGCUCGUUUUCAUCAUCCCUCAAAUUCCGUAGAAUAUCUAGGCUGUCUGAAUCACACAGCGCUCCUAGCGCCUCCGCCGCCUCAUGCCGACACAUCGGAUCCUCUCCUCGAUUCUCCAACACCUCCCGGAGAUAGGGAACUGCAGCUAAGUUUUUAGUCUGUCCCAAGCAGUAAGCAAGUUCAUGCUUUAAAAGAGCAGAUGGAGAUGAGAAUGCUGCGGCGAUCGCUUGGAUAGAAGGUAAACUCUGUUCUGUAGGCGGCUGGAGACAGGCGACAUGCUUCAGGGAGAAUAAGGCACGGAAUCGCCGUGCUAAAGGCUCACUUUCGGAGGUUGAUCCGUUGCGACCGGCGACAUCUUACACAGUGGAAUAUAUUACCGUAGGUAUGGUUCCAGGAUCUGCAAUUCCUAACAUGAACAUUCGAAUGUCUUCACCCCAAACUCCGACAUUUUUUUUUGGAGGGGCGAUGAGGGGCGUGCAAAUUACAUAAGCGACCCUAGUCAAAAAUGUGAUGUUUAUUUUUCAACUUCCUCAUCCUACCUCUAACCCUGUGUUGAAAGGAGGGAAUAUGGGACAGGUAACGAGUGUAUUGGUAAUGUUGUGAAGGAUGUAUGUGAAGUGUGUUUCGAAGGGUGGGAAGUUCAUCGGAAAAUGCACACGCAUAGUAAAUUAGACAUCUUUACGCAUCGGUUUGGGGCUAGGCGAAUAGCAGCAUCUCUAGAAUAUAUCCCAAUUAAUCGGUACGCAUAUCUAUCUUUGCUUUGAAGGCUGCAUUUUAUACUUGCUCAAAACGACAAAAAAAACAAUCGAUUUGUCACCUAAAAACAGCCUGGUAGUGAUACGGCAUCGCACGGUAUAGGAGAGGAGAAAGGAAAAAGUAUUGUAACAUAUAUAUGCCACAAUUAACAUCGUCGGCAGACAAUAUUUAGUUGACAAAAUCAUUUGAAUACAAGUAGACUCAAGUUUAUAUACACUUGAAAAAAGCGAAGGGAGCUCUGAAUGUUUUGUUCUAUUUAGUUCUGACAAUUUUGAGCUUCUUAGGUUCGUGUAAGAAGUUGUUCGCAUAGGCUUUGGGGCGGAACGCUCGCUUAUUUGGUUCCUGGACAAAAUAUUCGUAUCCUUGCUUUUCCGCAAAUGAUAUCGCAUCUUCCUUUGAUUUGAAAUCUAGAUGGGUAGCUUGCAUCGCAUCAGCUGAAGAUUGCCACCCCGUCAGCGGAUUUUCCCAGCGAUGGCCUUUUGACAAAACAUCCCAAUCCAUUCGCCAGUGGUGGGUAUGCCACAUCCCCGAUUGCGUCGCUGGUUUCGAGGGUUGGAAGAUCCUGACUGUUCGCGCUUG
rnacentral:sRNA from 1 species